rnacentral:piRNA from 1 species
UGCACAGGAUCACUCUCGGAACUUGUAUCU